AUUGAACGCUGGCGGCAGGCCUAACACAUGCAAGUCGAGCGGAUGAAGGGAGCUUGCUCCUGGAUUCAGCGGCGGACGGGUGAGUAAUGCCUAGGAAUCUGCCUGGUAGUGGGGGAUAACGUCCGGAAACGGGCGCUAAUACCGCAUACGUCCUGAGGGAGAAAGUGGGGGAUCUUCGGACCUCACGCUAUCAGAUGAGCCUAGGUCGGAUUAGCUAGUUGGUGGGGUAAAGGCCUACCAAGGCGACGAUCCGUAACUGGUCUGAGAGGAUGAUCAGUCAAACGGAAAGUAGGCAAGGGCCCAGACCCUUAGGGGGGGAAGCGGUGGGAAUAUUGGACAAUGGGCGAAAGCCUGAUCCAGCCAUGCCGCGUGUGUGAAGAAGGUCUUCGGAUUGUAAAGCACUUUAAGUUGGGAGGAAGGGCAGUAAGUUAAUACCUUGCUGUUUUGACGUUACCAACAGAAUAAGCACCGGCUAACUUCGUG
rnacentral:rRNA from 1 species